AGAAGUUUGGUAUACCUGGCGUCAGGAUAAAACGACUGGCGGCGCACAUAAGACAUGCAAGUCGAACGAACUUAACCGAAAGUAUUUAUAUUUUGGUAGCGGUUAGUGGCGGACUGGUGAGUAACACGUAAGCAACCUGCCUAUCAGAGGGGAAUAACAGUGAGAAAUCAUUGCUAAUACCGCAUACCCUAUUUACAUCGCAUGAAGGAAAUAGGAAAGGAGAAAUCCGCUGAUAGAUGGGCUUGCGUCUGAUUAGAUAGUUGGUGGGGUAAAGGCCUACCAAGUCGACGAUCAGUAGCCGGACUGAGAGGUUGAACGGCCACAUUGGGACUGAGAUACGGCCCAGACUCCUACGGGAGGCAGCAGUCGGGAAUAUUGCACAAUGGAGGAAACUCUGAUGCAGUGACGCCGCGUGCAGGAAGAAGGUUUUCGGAUUGUAAACUGCUUUAGACAGGGAAGAAAAAAGACAGUACCUGUAGAAUAAGCUCCGGCUAACUACGUG
rnacentral:rRNA from 1 species